rnacentral:rRNA from 1 species
UACGUAGGGUGCAAGCGUUGUCCGGAAUUACUGGGCGUAAAGGGCGCGUAGGCGGCCUGUUAAGUCGAACGUGAAAUCCCGGGGCUCAACCCCGGAACUGCAUCCGAUACUGCCAUGCUAGAGGAUUGGAGAGGUAGCUGGAAUUCUUGGUGUAGCAGUGAAAUGCGUAGAGAUCAAGAGGAACACUCGUGGCGAAAGCGAGCUACUGGACAAUUCCUGACGCUGAGGCUCGAAGGCUAGGGUAGCGAAAGGG